GCAGAAAUCCUGGAAUUUUUCUUAAAUGUCACUUAAAACUUGACUUCACAAAGAUCCCAAGCAGAAAAAUUAAAUUCAUAAAUGUCUGUAUGCAGAACAAUUUCAUUUCAGUGACCUUUUGAUGCAUUUUCUGUUUGCUUAUUAAAACCAUUUUGUUUUUUCAUGCUUUCUUAAUUCCAGUUUAAAAAACUGUCAACAUAAUUACUAACCAGAUUUGCUUCAGCGAACAAUUUCAUGAUGUUUCUCAGUUUUCUGCUUUAUUUUCUAUUAAUAAAACAUUUACUGUUACUAUUUCUGUUUUUGUACCAUAACCACAACUGAUCAUUAUCUUUGGUCAAAUUCAGAUGUGAUUGGAAAAAUAAAUAUGAUGUAUCAAAAAUGUAAUCAACUUACAGAAAACUUUACUUCAACUGUUUGAUUCUUCAUCUCAUAUGCAAAAGAAUAUUGUAUUAGAAAAUGAUGCAAACCAUUCAAAUAAUGUGUUACCGUCUGACUUUAUCUUAUCUUAUAUUUCAUCUUUUGCUUCUGACUUUUUCAUUUGCAAAUAGAAAAUAAAAAGAAAAGUUUUUGCAAAUUUUUCAUAA